GGGUGCGACCAUACUAGCACUAGAGCACCGGAUGCCAUCUGAUCUCCGUAGUUAGGCGUGCUUAGGCAAGAGUAGUACUGGGAUGGGUGACCUCCUGGGAAGUCCUAGUGUUGCACCCU